CUGCAUCCCACACAGGGCCCUUUCAACACCCCAAUCCCAGUCCCCUGGGCUCCCCAGUUCCCCCCAGUUCAGCAUCUUUGGGUCCCCCCAACCUCCCCCCACCCUCCCUGCAGGCCCUGAAUUCCCCUGGCUCUCCUUGUCUCCAUCCCCACCCUGGGCCCUGCAGGCACAGGGGUUGGAGGUGAAACUGGGUGGAGUGGGAGCGGGGGGAGCAGAAGGGAUUUUCCCCCUCAGACGGGGGCAGCCCUGGGCUGGGGGGUCUGGGGACACCCGUGUCCCUCCCCCAGCCCUACAGGGGCCAAUCCUGAGCAACCCUUUGCUCUCCUUGCCCAGGCACUCUUGGCAGGAACCCAAAAUGAUCUGCGGGAGCUGCAUUUAGUGGACAUUGGGAUCCUGAAGACGGCUCAGGCUCCCAAUACAUCCCACUGCACCCAGUGUGUCUCUGAGCCUGUCUUCCUCCCCACUCCCCUGUGGUGGAGAAGGUGGUGGGUCCUGUUGGUGAGAUGUGGCUGCAUCCCUGGAUGUCUGAGGUGAGCAGUGCCUGCAGGGAGAGGGGUCAGGACAAGGCCCCUCUUGUGUUGCAGUGGACUUUGGGGGUGACA